rnacentral:rRNA from 1 species
GUAUUUUGUAAAGUUGUUCUAGUUUUGUAACUAAAAUGGUUUGGCAGUGAGCGAUUCUUAUUAGGGGAAUAUGCAUAGUGAAGGAUGGUCCACCUAUUAGUUUACUCUUUUUAUGUUGGUGUAUGUCUGGUUUGAUAUUAUUGUUGAAUAAUUUAAGUUUGUGUAGUUUUAGUUAAGCUAAGUCUAUGUGCUGCUUAUGGGAGUUUUUGUGUGUACAUAA